rnacentral:rRNA from 1 species
GAUGAACGCUGGCGGCGUGCCUAAUACAUGCAAGUCGAGCGAACGGACGAGAAGCUUGCUUCUCUGAUGUUAGCGGCGGACGGGUGAGUAACACGUGGAUAACCUACCUAUAAGACUGGGAUAACUUCGGGAAACCGGGGCUAAUACCGGAUAAUAUUUUGAACCGCAUGGUUCAAAAGUGAAAGACGGUCUUGCUGUCACUUAUAGAUGGAUCCGCGCUGCAUUAGCUAGUUGGUAAGGUAACGGCUUACCAAGGCAACGAUGCAUAGCCGACCUGAGAGGGUGGUCGGCCACACUGGAACCUAGACACGGUCCAGACUCCUACGGGAGGCAGCAGUAGGGAAUCUUCCGCAAUGGGCGAAAGCCUGACGGAGCAACGCCGCGUGAGUGAUGAAGGUCUUCGGAUCGUAAAACUCUGUUAUUAGGGAAGAACAUAUGUGUAAGUAACUGUGCACAUCUUGACGGUACCUAAUCAGAAAGCCACGGCUAACUACGUG